AAAGCAGCAUUGAUAAAUCAAAAACGAUAUCAACAUAAUCGAAAGAAUGUAAAUGCUACUUUUCAAGCUUCAACAACAACAAUCGGUACUCCAAAGGCAUAAAUCUACCAAGAAGUACAAAAGUGAAGAACUGAAUAUACUCUUGGACUGCGGAAACCUAAAUAGCAUCUCACUGUAAACUCAUAGUUAUCAAGUAGCUGAAACAACUUCACCAGAAAAAAACAGCAUUGAUAAAUCAAAAACGAUUCCAACAUAAUCGAAAGAAUGUAAAUGCUACAUUUCAAGCUUCAACAACAACAAUCGAUACUCCAAAGGCAUAAAUCUACCAAGAAGUACAAAAGUGAAGAACUGAAUAUACUCAUCGACUGCGGAAACCUAAAUAGCAUCUAUCUUGCCACACACUUGAGGAAGAAUGUAAAUGCUACAUUUCAAGCUUCAACAACA
rnacentral:lncRNA from 1 species